rnacentral:lncRNA from 1 species
UUCCCGGAACUGGAGGGCGGAGGUUCAGUGAGCGAGAUUGUGCCACUGCACUCCAGCCUGAGCCACAGAGUGAGACCCGUCAAAAAAAAAAAAAAAGCUUUUGUGGGAUGAAAUAGAAAGUAUUUCUGUUUGUUUGUUUUAUAAGUUCAUUUGAUGUAUUGGACGAUCAGUGGUUAGUUCUUUAUCCAUUGAUCAGAUUUUGAAAAUGGUAAAUUGCCAUGGUAACCAAAGUAUAGAGCUUGUUUGUUGAAUCUUUCAUCCCUCGCCAUGCUUUCUGGACAACCUUGAUACGUAUGGUCAAUCCUAUCUUCGGGCCCAAACAGCUUUGUUGAGCCUAGUAUCAAUGUGCACAUCUGGAGUGCCCAUCUCCUUCAUGGCAAAUUUUUGGAUCUCUUUGAGCGCCCAAGGGGCACACUUCCUGAAGUCCAUGCUAUGGAUGCGCUUGUGAAUGUUGAUGGCAGAAAGGCUCUUCUUCUUGCCAUCCUUCUUUGCAGGACCCAUCAUGCUGGCCCAAGGUGGAAAGCAAGAGAACUACAGAUUGUGGGAGAAAGAAAGCAGCGGUUCCCUGAAGGUAUUUCUUGAAACACUGGAGGAGAAUGGAGCUAGCUCAAAUGGGAAUAGUGCAUGUGGAAACAGCAGAAAGCCUCCCAACACUCAUUUUGUGCAGUGAGUCUCCUAUCCUGACCACAGCGAAUUGGACCAGCUCCAGUAAGUCCCUGGUAAAGCUCCUGCUGCUCCAUCUCAGGAGAAUCCCGGAUCCUGAUCAGUGCCUCAAUAUUGCAGAACAGAGGGAGUGAGGGAAAUAUUUAAUUUCCAACUCUGAAGGUCUACCAUGGAGAAGAGAGGAGCAGAAGGAAGAACUUAAUACUGGUGGAGCACUUGGUAAAAUGAAAAUAAAUAUUCUUUUUCUUUUUUUGAGAUGGAGUUUCACUCUUGUCUCCCAGGCUCGAGUGCAAUGGCGCAAUCUCGGCUCACUGCAACCUCCGCCUCCCGGGUUCAAGUGAUUCUCCUGCCUCAGUCUCCUGAGUAGCUGGGAUUACAGGCGCCCACCAUCACACUCGGCUAAUUUUUGUAUUUUUAGAAGAGAUGGGGUUUCACCACGUUGGCCAGGCUGCUCUUGAACUCCUAACCUCAGGUGAUUCACCCACCUCAGCCUCCCAAAGCGCUGGGAUUACAGAAAUGAGCCACUGCACCU